GAAAAAAAGCAGGAGGUGAAGAGAAAAGAGAGAAGAUAUAAGAUAUACAUAAAAUAUAUAUUAUUUAUAAGAUUGCCCUAAUCAUUUAUUAUAUAUAUGAAGGAGACGAUGGAAGGGAGAAAUGAAAUGAAAAUGAGAGUAGAGAUUAGGGCACAUGUUUCCUUUAACUUAGGGGGCAGUGCUGCUUGUACCUCCUGGAAUGCCGCAUAGAAAUGGAAUAUAAGAACAAAUAAUAGAUCCGCUGUUUGAUAGUUGCAUGAGGUGUCGUGCUGCGAGUGCUCCCUCCAUGAUGAGGGAGAAAGAAAUAGCAAUCACAAAACCCAAAAUCAUCAAUUUCUUAUACACUUCCCAUAUCUAUCUUUUCUUCAAUCUCUGCAUAUUCUACACACUUUCACAUUCCCUUUUAUACACAUCAAAUUAUCAAAUCAACUUCCUUAAUUAACACUGCACAUCUUUAGUAUUUAUUAAUUAUUAAUAUGGUUUCUUACGUGUUUGGCAAUCCAACAUUAAUAUGAAAUGAGUCACCACGCUACACUUGCCAAAAC
rnacentral:lncRNA from 1 species